rnacentral:rRNA from 1 species
UACGGGGGGGGCAAGCGUUGUUCGGAAUUACUGGGCGUAAAGGGUGCGUAGGCGGGCCUUUAAGUCAGUGGUGAAAUCUCCCCGCUCAACGGGGAAACUGCCAUUGAUACUAUUGGUCUUGAAUUUAGUUGAGGUGGGCGGAAUGUGUCGUGUAGCGGUGAAAUGCUUAGAUAUGACACAGAACACCGAUUGCGAAGGCAGCUCGCUAAACUAAUAUUGACGCUGAGGCACGAAAGCGUGGGGAUCAAACAGG